rnacentral:rRNA from 1 species
GCAGUCGAACGAUGAACCACUUCGGUGGGGAUUAGUGGCGAACGGGUGAGUAACACGUGGGCAAUCUGCCCUUCACUCUGGGACAAGCCCUGGAAACGGGGUCUAAUACCGGAUGAUACUUCUGCUCGCAUGGGUGGGGGUUGAAAGCUCCGGCGGUGAAGGAUGAGCCCGCGGCCUAUCAGCUUGUUGGUGAGGUAGUGGCUCACCAAGGCGACGACGGGUAGCCGGCCUGAGAGGGCGACCGGCCACACUGGGACUGAGACACGGCCCAGACUCCUACGGGAGGCAGCAGUGGGGAAUAUUGCACAAUGGGCGAAAGCCUGAUGCAGCGACGCCGCGUGAGGGAUGACGGCCUUCGGGUUGUAAACCUCUUUCAGCAGGGAAGAAGCGAAAGUGACGGUACCUGCAGAAGAAGCGCCGGCUAACUACGUGCCAGCAGCCGCGGUAAUACGUAGGGCGCAAGCGUUGUCCGGAAUUAUUGGGCGUAAAGAGCUCGUAGGCGGUCUGUCGCGUCGGAUGUGAAAGCCCGGGGCUUAACCCCGGGUCUGCAUUCGAUACGGGCAGACUAGAGUGUGGUAGGGGAGAUCGGAAUUCCUGGUGUAGCGGUGAAAAAUGCGCA